GCACAUAUAGACAGCACAUUUACUAAAAUUGGAAUGAUACAGAAAAGAUUAGCAUGACCCCUGUGCAAGAAAUAACACAGAAAUUUGUGAAGUGUUCCAAAUUUUG